CUAGAUUAUGUCUUCAGUAGCGGUCACGUUCAAUCACUCUGCCACAGAGCUGGAAGUCAUUGUGACAUCGAGACAAGACACGCUUUGUUUAUAUUUCAAAGUGACUUCUGAUGUCAAACUGGUCUAAUAUUGUCUUGUGUUAAAGGAACAUCAUCUUUCUCCUCCAAGAACAGCUUACAAUGACGUACAUUUCCCAAAGCAUUGAAGACUUAUUAAUGAUUUGACUGGGUCUGAAGUGCUGAGCAUAAUAGAUGAGACACCAGUUAAACACCUCCUUUGGAAAUGGCCUGCAAGCUUAUUCUUCUUAAUCGGUCUAACGGUGAGCUUCACGUCUGUCUUGGAGAGGGUUCCACCCCAGUGAAUUCAGAAGUUUGGUGACACUCGCUUCUCUCUCAUAGGUGUUAGUAACAAAUCGAGCUGCCUGUCUUUGGACGCGUUCGACUGUAUUAUUGAUAAAAUUGUUCAUAUUUUAAUUUGAUAACUUUGUUUAUAAACUGCCAAUAAAGACAUUCUUUGAUCCUG